rnacentral:pre_miRNA from 1 species
UGUCAAGAAGAAACACCUUUCUGUCCUAAGUACUAGCGCCGCAGGAGUGUUCAAACGAUUAAUAUCACUCCUGCAGCCUUGGUGCUUACUAUGGGGACGGUGCCGUGUCGGUG